CUACAAUUCUCUAGAGAUGAUGGUUUUCUAUGAUUCACAGGUAAAUCACAACACCAGGAGUUGAUCUGCAUGGAAAAGAUGGUGGUUUGUGUUAGGAAAGAGAUUGCAACCACAGAGAGAUGGAGAGAAUACAUUGAUACUGCAUUUCAAAUUGGCUAGAUCAAAAGGAACAGCAGCUAAAAUCCAUUACAACCCAAUUACAUCCAUCAGCUGAAGCUGUGUGCAUUCACUCGUGAACAUCAGCAUUUAAUCCAUAAAGAGGAACUAAUGAGAAAUUUGAAAAUGGAAUCCACGCAUCAAGCAAGAUGCCAAAAUAAUGAUCCUGAGAGUGAAACAUCUUGUGGAUGGUUCUUGUGGGAGCUCCUGGCCUGCUCAGUUAGGGCACUUACUCUUCAGAAGGGAAAGAUCCCCAAGUCUGAUUCAGAGAUUUUUGGAGAAGAUGACCAUAGAUAGUAGGAGAAGCCCAACUGCUAGCAUGACUUAUCAGAAAAUAUUUGUCUAGAGAGAGUAUCACUCUAUUUAGCACUGAAGUGAAGCUCACUUUCAGCCAUCUUGAAAACAGUUUCAUCUUUUGCUGCUAUAACUAUCAACCUUCUUAAUGUAGAUAAUGGUGAUAAUAAAUCACUGCUUCUUGUUGAGGUCUUUGUAAAU
rnacentral:lncRNA from 1 species